rnacentral:rRNA from 1 species
GAUGAACGCUGGCGGCGUGCCUAAUACAUGCAAGUCGAGCGAACAGAUGAGGAGCUUGCUCCUCUGACGUUAGCGGCGGACGGGUGAGUAACACGUGGAUAACCUACCUAUAAGACUGGGAUAACUUCGGGAAACCGGAGCUAAUACCGGAUAAUAUAUUGAACCGCAUGUUUCAAUAGUGAAAGACGGUUUUGCUGUCACUUAUAGAUGGAUCCGCGCCGCAUUAGCUAGUUGGUAAGGUAACGGCUUACCAAGGCAACGAUGCGUAGCCGACCUGAGAGGGUGAUCGGCCACACUGGAACUGAGACACGGUCCAGACUCCUACGGGAGGCAGCAGUAGGGAAUCUUCCGCAAUGGGCGAAAGCCUGACGGAGCAACGCCGCGUGAGUGAUGAAGGUCUUCGGAUCGUAAAACUCUGUUAUUAGGGAAGAACAAAUGUGUAAGUAACUAUGCACGUCUUGACGGUACCUAAUCAGAAAGCCACGGCUAACUACGUG